AUAAUGGGUCAGCGACUUAUAUUCUGUAGCAAGGUUAACCGAAUAGGGGAGCCGAAGGGAAACCGAGUCUUAACCGGGCGUUAAGUUGCAGGGUAUAGACCCGAAACCCGGUGAUCUAGCCAUGGGCAGGUUGAAGGUUGGGUAACACUAACUGGAGGACCGAACCGACUAAUGUUGAAAAAUUAGCGGAUGACUUGUGGCUGGGGGUGAAAGGCCAAUCAAACCGGGAGAUAGCUGGUUCUCCCCGAAAGCUAUUUAGGUAGCGCCUCGUGAAUUCAUCUCCGGGGGUAGAGCACUGUUUCGGCAAGGGGGUCAUCCCGACUUACCAACCCGAUGCAAACUGCGAAUACCGGAGAAUGUUAUCACGGGAGACACACGGCGGGUGCUAACGUCCGUCGUGAAGAGGGAAACAACCCAGACCGCCAGCUAAGGUCCCAAAGUCAUGGUUAAGUGGGAAACGAUGUGGGAAGGCCCAGACAGCCAGGAUGUUGGCUUAGAAGCAGCCAUCAUUUAAAGAAAGCGUAAUAGCUCACUGGUCGAGUCGGCCUGCGCGGAAGAUGUAACGGGGCUAAACCAUGCACCGAAGCUGCGGCAGCGACACUGUGUGUUGUUGGGUAGGGGAGCGU
rnacentral:rRNA from 1 species